UACAUCAGGUCAAGAAGUACUUCCUUUUCCCUGCGGGUGGCCAAGAAGGAGUGGUUUAGAAUCAGAUAAAAAGAUCAGAGUUGGAGUUCAAGAAAAAGCGAAUGCCUUGGCAAAUAAUUACAUUUACCUUCGUCUUCUCCCUUCCCGCUUAUCUCUGGGGAACCUGGUUUCUCUGCAUUUCCAGCAGGAUUCCUCUCCAUGUCAUGUGGAUUCUACACACUAAAAAAGAAGAGCAUCACAAAACGACAAACCUUGAACUACCAGUAAAAAUGAGAAUCAUCUGCAUAUAUCUGAACGCGCGGCAUCAGGAGCACAGUGGCACUGCCUACCAUAACUGCUUAUGUUUUUAGAAAAGGCAGAGAAAAUACCUCAUAUUCAAGAAUGCACAAGACUGGGAAGUGGGCAGAACUAAGAAGACCCAGCCGAGUUCAGCCUCUAGCGCCAUCCCGCGUAUGUAGCCUUGCCUCAUUCACUUCGGGGUCUCCUACCUCUGCUUCCACCUCUCCUCCAAGAAGGCGAAGGAAGAAACUUAAGAUGAUGGGAUGAGAAUACACCUGCGCUCACAAAGUCGUUGCCCUUCCUGCACCAGAUUGUUGAAAUGGUCAAAAAGAGAAGCUGUCUUGGAAAACCAGAUUAAGUACAUGCAGUCAUACCUAUGUGAACAAAUAGCACAAUUUCAUACGUUACACUUAUUCCUACCAGUUUUCCACUCAUUAAAAUUUUUGGAAAUUGUGUUUUGAAAUGAUAUUAUGACCAUUUGCUCAGUCUCUUAAAAGAAUCAAUCUCGUUAUAUUAUAACUGCAUUUCCUUUUUGGUCAGACUACCCUUCCUUGGUUUCAUUAUUCAUUAAACAGCUUCAAAAUUACCUUUGAUGGGAGGGGGAAGAAAAAAGAGAGUGGGGGGAAAAAAACCCCACAGGAGACUCUUAAACAUA